rnacentral:miRNA from 1 species
UUGAAGCUGCCAGCAUGAUCU